CUCGCAGGGCCAAGAUGCUGACAACCUGGGUGAAAACAUACCAUGUGCAGGGCACCUUCCUAAUAUUCUCCUUUCUGUGGCCUUCAUCCUGGAGAAACAGUUUUCUUCUGUGUGUAGCUCAGCAUCCUCAUGCAGGUAGAAUGAAAAUAAAUACAAAUGAGGAAACCAAAGAAGAAAAAUAGCAUCCAAAGAAAAAAUGAAUAUUUUGGACAUUCCAUUUCUUUAGAAAGAUGAUGUUGGUGUGUUGGGUUGACAGCGUUCCUGGUAAUCUAAGAAAGAACAGGGACAUGAUGUUGGAAACUAUUAGCCCUUCAACCAAGCAUUUUUUCUUUUCUGGCUCAGACUUUUUUGAGAACUGCUGUUUUUCCCUUCAGACUCUUUUUAUCUUUGCAUCAUUCCAAACCCUCAACCCAAUGCCCAUUGUAUAUGAGGAUCCUUACCAGCCAUGCAUGCUGUUUUGGUUUUUAAGUAAACACAGAUGAAGAGAGAAGAGAUUUUCAGAAUGGGUGAUUGAGCUUCUCCAUCCCCACAGAAAAUUUACAUUUUCCGCAUAUUACAGAGCCUGAGCAACCUAUAGGGCUAGGGGCAAAGACUAAGUUAAGUCCUUUAAAAUGUGAUAAUCUUAACAUUCAUUUUUGCCUCCUUUCAGGUUGGGCAGAAAAAAGGCCAGAGAUUGAGCUUUCUGAGGCUGUAAGCAGCUAAAUCCUAACAGGCAAGGAUAAGCCACCUUGGUUUAUAUCUCACUUACCAUGGGAUAAGAACAGACGCACACAACAGUUACUGUGGAGCACCUGGUGCACAAGUGCUCUGAAAAAACUGCAAAAAAAGCCCACCAUUAAACCUCCAUCGAAGAAAAGCAAGCCAGAGGUUCAAGGCAAAGGGGGAGUGCUUCAAAUACACAUUUUACGCUGCUAAAAAGAUCCACAGUACUGUGACCAAAAUCCCAUUAAAUGGAACAGUUUCUAUUUAAAUCUUCCCAUGACAUGUUUCUGAUAUUACCCUACAAGAGAGGCACAUAACUGUCAGGCUUAAAGACUGCUCCUCUUCUCUUCUUCCUUGAGUGGCUCUGCAGAUUCAGACUGUCACUUUCAGUUCAGACACUUAGGCUGAGUGCUAAACUUUUAGGUGGAAUGAGGCAGUACUUCACAUUGUGAAGGAAACUCUACCUAGUAAGCCUCACUUAGAGAGAAACUGGCUGCUUAAAUCCUAGCUCAAAAAGAGCAAGCCUUUAGGCCUCAAAACAUCAGCAUCCAAACAAGACCCAAAGCCUGAAUUCCAGAAGAUGGGGAAUGCAGGCAAUGUGACGUGCGGCCCCUGGAGGGGAAACUAUCAGAUUCACUUAGGUGUGUGAUCCUCCUUGAAUGACCUCCAGAAUACCAUUAUUGGUGGUCCACAGCUGGGAACCCACUGAAAUCAAUGUGGCUGCUCCUGAUUUUGAGGGCACAAUGUGGGGCUUGGCAGCCAUUUUGUAGGUGGAGUGCAGGAGCCCUCCCAUGCCUCUGAUUGGCCAAGGGGCCCUAGUGGCCCUGUCCCUCACUGCUGAUUGGCUGUGAGGGCUGUCUGUCAUAUGGCCCUGCCCCUUACCACUGCCUGUGAAGGCUGUCAUGGAGCCCCACCCCUUGCCCUUGCAGCCAAUCAGUGGUGAGGGGUGGAGACAGCAGCCAUCUUACUGGUAGCCCUUUGAGUGGGGAGACCCCGCCUCCCCCUUCGCCCCAGAGCACUGCUGCAGCACCCUGAACACUACUGGCGCCCUCUAAGGAGCAUUUUAUUUUCAGUAAGUUUUAGGGGGGGUUGGAUUUUGUGGGCAAUGCCAGAUUUCACAAAAUCUGUGAAAUUGCAGUUUCAGUAGGUCCCUAUUCUCCUCAGCUGGCAAAAACGUUUCUGGCAGCAUGGAAUUGUCCUACAGGGAAUGACCAGACAUGAUUCAAAUGAGAAGCUGUUGGUUGUUGCUGUUAUAAUCCUGUCCCCUUAGGCAUUUGAGGCAUGUUGUUCUGAAAUAUAUAUCACUAACCUCUUGUAUAUUUAUUCAGUGGAAAACAGCUGUAAAGUUAUAGAGGGAGUUAACUUUAAUUGAUAUAACUACAGUUAUCAUUCAUCCACAGUUACCACAUAAUGGUAUCUGGAUGCCAUUCUUAGUUCCCGUUCUAAACACUGACGUGUUGCAGCAACUUACACAAAUCAACAUGUAGUCAGUGUUCACAAAAAAUAACAAUUUUACCAUUUUGAAGUUGCUUCUGAAUUUCUCUUAACAGACUUUGAUUGUUUCAAUUCAGUUUGCAUUGGAAAAGUAAGUAUCCACAUCACAGAAACUACCAGCAGAACCGGCACCAUUGUUGAUAAUCUCAGCUGCACAAAUGAUCAUAGAAAAUCAACUUCCUCCUACCUUGAGAUGGUAUCUCCAUGUAAGGGUUUAGCCAUAUUGUCUGGGCAGUGCAGAGAAUUUUGUACUGUUCCUUACUGUUCUUUGGAUAAAUAUGACUCCAGCAUGCAGAACAAGAAAUAAAUUCAAUAUACAUGUAAAAGAAAGAAAUAGUAUUCUGAAAAGAGGAAAGCAUUGAGUGUGGCAUCUCUCAGGUAACUCUCAGGAAGUUUUUACUUCAAAUGUUUGCAGUAUUUUUUCUUGCAAUUAUUACUUCUUAUUGAAAAUCUUUUGUGUUUGUUUGUUUAAACAAGACCUUCUAGUCAGCCUGAUUGGUCCUCCAGUGAAAUCAUUAUGCUUGACAGAAAUUAUGUGACAGUGGGCACGUCUACAUGAGGAACUAUAUGCACAGGAGACUAAUUCUACUGAGCACAGCAAAAGCCAGGCUAUUGCACUAAUACUUAGUAGAAUUAGUCUAAGCAUUAGCAUCACUUAAAAGGUGUGUGCUGGCGCUACUGUGCAGAUACUAAACUUAAUGCGCAGUAAUCACAACACAUUAAUGAAUGUGUAGAUGUACCCACUAAUUACUAUACCAAGCCCAAUCAACUGAUGUCAGAAAUACUGCAUUGUGAUUGAUUAAGGAGAAAUAUAAGGUAAGGAAUGGGGAAGCUCCUAGGCUAGGGGCAGAAGUUACAGUUAAACUGGUUUAAGUCAUCAAAAACUGGUUUAAACUUGUAACAGAACAGAUGUUCAGUGUAUAUAAACCAGUUUCAAAAUGACUGAAACUCGUGUAAGAUAAACCUGGUUGAAUGUAGUAUGAGACUUAACUGAUUUGGGUCAAACUGGUUUAUGAAACUUCGGUCCCAGACCCUUUCCUGGUUCAAGUUAAAUCAAAGUCCCCUAGCAUCCCAGCAUGCUUUCCAGCCCUGGGCUGUGCUGUGCUGUCUGCUCCAACAGAGGAGAGUUGGGGUAUAGGGGAGGCAGGGAUGGGGUUAAACUUCCCUUCCCCUAAGUACAGAGCUGCCUUGCCCUGGUAAAAACUUACUGCUGGCUGCAACUGUGCACUACAAAUCCCAGAAGCACCUGGAAGCAGGAAAAGGAAGUGAUGAGCAACCCUGCAAAGCCCUGUCAAUAUGAUUCUGGGCUGCAAAUCCCAGAGACUUUGUGGGCAGCAGGAAGAGGACGCAAAUCCACAGCCCAUGCUGGCUACGUGCCAGAGAGCUGUGCUUUAGUGCCCCCAAGCUUCUGACUGCAGGCUUCUGGCCUGCAUUUCUGGAAUCAGAAGUGAAUGUCUGUCCAGUUGUUUCUUAGUUCAAUCUCUGCAGCUUAGACUAACCUGCAAAGACUGAAUUGAUUCAGCCUUGGGCUUUUUGACUGUCUUUACUUUGCCCAAAUGUUUCCAGUACUGGCCUGGGAACACUGAAAAUGCUUGACAUCAUGAAUAGCAUGUUGUAUAAAUGUAUCUUCCACGUUUUUUGCAUUGUAAGAGCCUCUCUCAAUGUGCAAUAUGCCACAAUAUAAAGCACACAGAGAACCAAAUGCUCUGUUCUAGUGAACAAAAGCUUGUCUCCUGCUGUUGCUUAAUACUGUAACUUUUAUUAGCAGCAAGUGACUGCAGUUUACAGCCUUCCUUCCUUUCUCUAGACGAUUACAUUCUUAAGCCGAUUGACUGUGUUGACUAAAGGCAGCAGUUGAUCCAUGCUCUUCCUUCUUGCACACAAUGCCGCAUGAAGGAAAGAAAUGCCAGAUUCAAUGUGUGGAGGAUAAGCUCAGAUUUUGAUUGCCUGAAUGGAGGUAAAAAAAAUGGUUGCUGUAUCUCGGGAUCCUGGAAUCCUUAAGGGAAUGACUUCUGUAUAUGUCUGAAAGAAAGAAAGGUUGCCAUGUGUUUGAUAGCCCAGACUGAGCAGUGCUCUCUUGGUCCUUUUUCCCUUGAUCACUUCCCUCAGAACCAUGCAUCAGACCAAGGGUCUUUAGUCACCAAAUUCCUGGAGGGAAAAUACAAGAAAGAAAAAUGAAGGAUGAUGAAUCAAAAUACAUCAUAUAACCUUUAAAAAGUGUUAAUACAUAAAAAUAAAUAAAUAAAUAAAAGCAUUUAUAAAACUAACCAGAAUUUUACCUGAAUUAGUUACCUCUUCUUCUACAACCACUGCUAUCUUAAUUGCCUCCCUCUAACCAAACAGAUGCUCUGCUCUGUAUUCAAUGUGUUUCAAGCAAUCAUCUUGUCUGCUUGAGUGCACAGUUGUACAAGACAUGGCUGGCUCCUCAAGUUUGAAACAGCCCAUGGAUAUACUUGGACUCAUGAACAAUCAUUUGAGCGCUCCUACAGCAUAUAGUGUUGGGAUAAAUUGUACCUUUCUGAUUCAUAUUCAGCAAAGAAUUUGCCCAGGGAAAUUAUCUGUUAAAAAGACAGCCAAUCCCUAGAAAAGCAAUUUGGCCUGCAUGUGAAUUUAUGUACAUGUGUACCCAGGAGGAAGAACUAUCUUAGAGGUGAUUAUGCCAGGCAGAUUACAGAAGUGAUUGUACUAUUUAUUUUUCAUUCAAGGAACAAUGCCUCUGAGAGACCUCUUUAUCUGGCACAAGUUAAUGAAGAAAACAGUGUCCUUUAGCAAAGAUUUCAGAGAGAAGUUUUCAGACUCAGUGUUUGUUACUUGACUGUAACACAGGGUAAAUAAGCAGGGGUUGUAACAGCCAGAAAUCUCUGGAGAUGGUGGUUUAGUGACAAGACUGCUACAGCUUUUGUACUUCAGUUGAGAAGCAAUUUGCUGCUGAACAGUACGUCCCAGAGGAAGUCUACAGAGCUAAUGAGACCUGUUUUACACACUGAUCCUAUACUCACAGCAAGUAGCAAAUGAAAAACAAUGGGAUAUGUACCACACAAAGACAGUGUUUCAUCUAGCCUUGAAGUAGCAAUCAGUCCAACCUACAACAUUCAGGCACAGGCCUCAGCAUUCACCCUCUUGGCAAAGGUGCACAGUGUUUGGUUCAGGGUCAUACAGUGCCAGUGCCUGACACUGGUGCAGUAUUGAACUCUGUGCAUGGGUUCUGCAUUAAGGCUGGGGGGAGCAUGUUAUUUGUACAUGCCUUUGUAAUUCUAGAAUUAAUUAGUUAUUUCACUACACCAUUUUGGUAUUUUAAAAUUAAUUUUAAACAGAGCACCUUGUACAUACCAAGCCUGUUCACACUAAUCAAAAGAGUUGCGGUAAGCAAUAGCUUUAAGUGUUCAAAUUUCUACCAUUUCUUUAUUAUCCUUUUCAGGUGGCAACUAAAUUGUUUAUACACUUAUUUUUCUUCCUUUUUCCUCCUGUAAAAAUAAAAAACAGAAAUAGAAAUGUAAUUUGUAGGAAGGGAAAACUCAAACCAAAUUAAAAAAAAUGAUUUGUGACAAAAGAGUACAUACCACUGUUUAGAGAGAGUUGUACCUGUUUCAAUUUUUGGUUUUCUCUGCCAGUAGGUGUCAUGAUACAGCAACCUGUGAAAUUUCUUAAUAUACUAGAGGGUUAAAUGGUUAAACAUACACUAUCAAUAAAUGAAUGCUAGCUAAAUUAUUAGUUGCUGGUGGUUAAAAUAGUGGUUAAUGAUGUUAAGCAUCCCAAAACAGGGAGUCUGUUGUCUGUGUGAUACAGUGUUACAUUAAAAACAGCUGUCACUACCCAACAAUUUUCUUUUUGAUGACUCUCAUACAGCUGUUUUUACGUGCACGAGGCACCUCACCUGCUAUUCAGUGGAACGCAAUAAUAAUGGGGUGAGCAAGAAAAUGAAGAGUGACAACAACCUAAAACCUCUCCUGAUGUACAGAAGGAUUGAAAACUGAUGAUAGAUGUAGCAUGUUUAUGUAAUAUUUAUUUAUCCAAUCCAUGUAGAUAUUUUUAACCUUGCCAUCACCACAGAAAAAAGUAUACGUAUAGCUAGAUCUGUUAAAAGUUAAAAUGACCUUGGUUUCAUCUUCUUGGCAAUAACUAUUGCUCCCAAAAACUUCAUUUCAAGUAAUACUAAUAAUACAAGUUUGGGGACUACAGUUGGUAUAUGUGUAAUGAGUCAGUUUCUGCUAUCCUGUAUAGCCCUGUUCAUUUUACUGAAAUGAGUAGGAUUGUGGGUAUAACUGAGAACAACUGGGGAGCAUAGGAAAAUAUGCACAUGCACACCUACAUUUACGUAAAGAAAUUACUAGCAAUUUAUAUCAUUUGGCACUUUUGUGUUCUGAAUAGGCAGUAAGCUUUCAGUGGGAACUGUGCCUUGCUGGUUUAAGUUAAAUCAGACUCCCCCAGCAUCCCGGCAUGCUUUCUGGGCUGGGCAGGGCUCUCUGCUCCACAGCAGGGCUGGCUCCUCCCCUCUGCUCCCUGGCUGCAGCUCUGGCAGAGACUUGCAAGCACAGCAGCAUCUGCCUGGCUUCCUCCUGCUCUCCCCCUCCCCUCACCACUCCCUGCAAGUAGGGAUCCCCUGUCCCCUCUGCCUUACACAGACACCUCAGCAUUAGCUAGUAGACCACAUGCUGUUUACAGUCUGUACUGUGGGAGACAGCAGUGUCGGCUUAGGGCUUUUUGGAGCUAAUCAGCAGCUCAG